AUACGGAGGGUGCAAGCGUUAAUCGGAAUUACUGGGCGUAAAGCGCACGCAGGCGGUCUGUCAAGUCGGAUGUGAAAUCCCCGGGCUCAACCUGGGAACUGCAUCCGAAACUGGCAGGCUUGAGUCUUGUAGAGGGGGGUAGAAUUCCAGGUGUAGCGGUGAAAUGCGUAGAGAUCUGGAGGAAUACCGGUGGCGAAGGCGGCCCCCUGGACAAAGACUGACGCUCAGGUGCGAAAGCGUGGGGAGCAAACAGGAUUAGAUACCCUGGUAGUCCACGCCGUAAACGAUGUCGACUUGGAGGUUGUGCCCUUGAGGCGUGGCUUCCGGAGCUAACGCGUUAAGUCGACCGCCUGGGGAGUACGGCCGCAAGGUUAAA
rnacentral:rRNA from 1 species